UGCAACAAGUCAGCGUUUACGCACACUGCGCGUGCAGACAUGAGUCGGGCUCUUGUAUGUGUGUUGACGGCUGCUUGGAGCCUGGGAAUCAGCGGCCAGACGGUGCACCAGCCAGAACGGGACAUCCACACCGUGGAGGGCGCAGCAGUGACGCUGGACUGCAGCUACGACAGGGCAGGGAACAAUGACUACAUCUUCUGGUACAAACAAGAAGUAAACACAUUGCCUGACUUCAUCCUGAGCACAGAUCGGUUCGGUUACGACAUGAUUGCGGAAAAGUACGGUGAAAGGUUUCGCUGCAUCAUGGAUGCCAGCGCUCGGCAAGCUCCCCUGCAUAUGGAACGCGUGAAGCCCAGCGACUCGGGAGUCUUCUACUGCGCCCUGUGGCCCACGCUGACACAUCCACUAGCGUGGCUGCACAAAAACACAUGCACACGCCUCAUUUCAUAA